UUCUGUCUUCGUGAAGCCCUGCCAUGCAACCUCUGUUUCGAGCCGCCGCCCAUUCCGUUCUCCUCUGUUUUCUGCACUGCCGCGCGACUCUCCGACCGCGUCAGAUCGUUGAUCGAUUUUGAGGCAGCCGCCACGUCUCCUUUGGCCGACCGCUGACCGACCCACACUUAGGAUUUUUGCUGCGAGUCCGACAGUCGUGCGUUGAGGUGUUGGGAGUAAUGUUGGGCUCCCUUAAAUUCACAACCAAUUUGUGAAUUGUUGAGGGUUCAGUUCGCCAAUAUGUCGGAUUGUUUCGAGGACGUUAGUUGAUUAAGGAGCUUCCCCAACUUUGAGGUAAGGGACUUUCUACUGGACUCACCUAAAGUUUUUGAGUUGUGUUGGACUGUAUGGAUGAUGAUUAAGAUGUACAUGUUUGGUUGCAGACUAAAUGUUUAGUGUAUGUUGUAUUUGACUGGAAACAUAUAUAUAUACAUUGAUGUGUGAAUUGAUGUGGAUUGCCGAAAGUAUACAUGUGAAUGACUGAAAUUAUGCUUAUGUGUA